rnacentral:rRNA from 1 species
GACGAACGCUGGCGGCGUGCUUAACACAUGCAAGUCGAGCGGUAAGGCCCUUUCGGGGGUACACGAGCGGCGAACGGGUGAGUAACACGUGGGUGACCUGCCCUCAGCUCUGGGAUAAGCCUGGGAAACCGGGUCUAAUACUGGAUAUGACUCCAUGACGCAUGUUGUGGGGUGGAAAGCCUUGUGCGGCUGAGGAUGGGCCCGCGGCCUAUCAGCUUGUUGGUGGGGUGANGGCCUACCAAGGCGACGACGGGUAGCCGGCCUGAGAGGGCGACCGGCCACACUGGGACUGAGACACGGCCCAGACUCCUACGGGAGGCAGCAGUGGGGAAUCUUGCGCAAUGGGCGAAAGCCUGACGGAGUGACGCCGCGUGGGGACGAAGGCCUUCGGUUGUAACCCU